CAGAAAUGAGGAUGAGGAUGGGGAUGCUGAAUCUAGUAAUGGACUCUGCUCAUUGAUGAGAUUUGCUUAUUUAGAACUGGACAAGGGCCAGCUAGCAAGCUUGCUAGCCAUUGUGGCUAUGGUAGCAAACAAAACAGCAGCAUCCCUAUGGAAGUACAACUCCACUCCCUGAUGUGGGAGAGUGAAGAAGCACUAGUAUAUCACGUUGAGGGUGAAUACCCAGUGCCUGGGAGCCCUGGUCCAAUCAGGCUGAAGAAUGACUCUGACAACAGCUAUUUGGGAGAGAGCCCUACCGGAGAUGCGUCGCAAAGCAGGUACACUGAGGAUGAACCAGGGACCCUAGGCCUGCAGCCACUGAGGGAUUUUUUUAAAGACAGGCCUUCUACAUCUCUUUGGCCUUGUCCCAGUGUGGCAAGGAUUGCAGGGGAUAAAUAACCGGGUACAGAAAUGAGUCAGAAUUCUCCCUACCACGGCUACCAGCGUUCUCCAGCCCUGAAAACCUUCUGUAAAACUUUGAACAUCCAUGAAGCAAAAUGUCUUUGAAGAAUAAGAAUCAGUGUGAAGGACUUUUUAAAAUUGGUCCAGUGUUUUUUCCUCUAGGAAAAGACAGAAGAAUAUGUACCUGGGUUCUCCCGGAAAGAUAUUGGAAGGAAUUUGGAGGAAAAGCCAAAGGAAGCCCUUGGGAUCAUGAAAACAAAAAGGAGGGUCAGCCCAGUGUCAUUCCAACGUUUCCACUAAAGAACUGACUGCCCCUUUCCUCUUGCUCUUGCACCACCGAUGGCUAGCAGAGGGCUGCAUAGAAAAUAGCAUCUACUUUGACGGGAUUUGGAGAUUGUGUGAAAGCAGGAAAAGAGGAUAACUUCUCUCAGCAACAUCCAUCAGCUUUUAGCAAGUUCUGGGCAGGAUCCGGUACUCAUUUGACUGUUUGUAGAUUCCUUUUUGUCAGGAGUAUUAUUUUUCCUACACAUCUGAUUCAAAUAUUGUUCUGAGGGGCUGGGGAUUUAGCUCAGCGGCAAAGCGCCUGCCUGGCAAGUGGAAGGUUGUGAGUUCGAUUCCCAGUACCAAAAAUAUAUAUAUACAUAUUGUUCUGAUAAUAGUAAGAGGGUUUUUUUUUUCCCCCAAAAUGAUGUCUUCUUUUGGUCAUACCCUUACUUAAUUCUCAAACAGAAAUGAAAGAAUAAGCAGGCUCCACAGAGCUUUCCAUGUCAAAGUUCUUAUUCUCUAAGCCCUUGGAGGAAUUAUUUACACAAGGUUCAGGUACAGAGCUACAUGCAGUAGAUAAGAAAUAGUCUCAUCUCAUCCCACCAGGGAGAACCCAUAGGAUGGUUAAUUUGCUUUUCAAAUGGAAUGGAAAAAAUUUAUGUUUUUUUCUCCCAUAUUUUCUCCUUUCAUUAUAAGUACUGUUUUGAAAAAAAUACAGGCAGAAAAUGCAAACAGUACAGAAGAAAUGAAAUGAUAGAAAAGACAAGGUAUGGAAUUCCAGUACUACAAUCUAAUGUAAACAAGGUCAAGAAAACAUUUUUGAUGCAGUUUGAAUGUGGAUACACCAGGAGAAGAAAGAAACAAUAAAAUAUUAGUAAGAAUGAUGGAAGAAAGAAAUGUGCAUGGGUCUUUAGCAUACUAUGCUGAUUUAUCACAAUAAUAACUUCUGGCAACUUAUAAACAUUCCCUGCCCUCUUCUUCCAGAGCCUUGAUGCUAGCGGGUGAUAACUCCAGCCUAAAAGAUAGACUUUGCAAAGCCUGUCCCUUUGUUACUGUGAUUCUCUACUAAAGCAA
ensembl:lincRNA